rnacentral:rRNA from 1 species
AGAGUUUGAUCCUGGCUCAGAUUGACCUUUGGCGGCAGGCCUAACACAUGCAAGUCGAACGGUAACAGGAAGCAGCUUGCUGCUUCGCUGACGAGUGGCGGACGGGUGAGUAAUGUCUGGGAAACUGCCUGAUGGAGGGGGAUAACUACUGGAAACGGUAGCUAAUACCGCAUAACGUCGCAAGACCAAAGAGGGGGACCUUCGGGCCUCUUGCCAUCGGAUGUGCCCAGAUGGGAUUAGCUAGUAGGUGGGGUAACGGCUCACCUAGGCGACGAUCCCUAGCUGGUCUGAGAGGAUGACCAGCCACACUGGAACUGAGACACGGUCCAGACUCCUACGGGAGGCAGCAGUGGGGAAUAUUGCACAAUGGGCGCAAGCCUGAUGCAGCCAUGCCGCGUGUAUGAAGAAGGCCUUCGGGUUGUAAAGUACUUUCAGCGGGGAGGAAGGGAGUAAAGUUAAUACCUUUGCUCAUUGACGUUACCCGCAGAAGAAGCACCGGCUAACUCCGUGCCAGCAGCCGCGGUAAUACGGAGGGUGCAAGCGUUAUCCGGAUUUAUUGGGCGUAAAGGGAGCGUAGGCGGAUACUUAAGUGGGAUGUGAAAUACUUGGGCUCAACCCGAGUACUGCAUUCCAAACUGAGUAUCUAGAGUGCAGGAGAGGAGAGUGGAAUUCCUAGUGUAGCGGUGAAAUGCGUAGAGAUUAGGAAGAACACCAGUGGCGAAGGCGACUCUCUGGACUGUAACUGACGCUGAGGCUCGAAAGCGUGGGGAGCGAACAGGAUUAGAUACCCUGGUAGUCCACGCCGUAAACGAUGUCGACUUGGAGGUUGUGCCCUUGAGGCGUGGCUUCCGGAGCUAACGCGUUAAGUCGACCGCCUGGGGAGUACGGCCGCAAGGUUAAAACUCAAAUGAAUUGACGGGGGCCCGCACAAGCGGUGGAGCAUGUGGUUUAAUUCGAUGCAACGCGAAGAACCUUACCUGGUCUUGACAUCCACAGAACUUUCCAGAGAUGGAUUGGUGCCUUCGGGAACUGUGAGACAGGUGCUGCAUGGCUGUCGUCAGCUCGUGUUGUGAAAUGUUGGGUUAAGUCCCGCAACGAGCGCAACCCUUAUCCUUUGUUGCCAGCGGUCCGGCCGGGAACUCAAAGGAGACUGCCAGUGAUAAACUGGAGGAAGGUGGGGAUGACGUCAAGUCAUCAUGGCCCUUACGACCAGGGCUACACACGUGCUACAAUGGCGCAUACAAAGAGAAGCGACCUCGCGAGAGCAAGCGGACCUCAUAAAGUGCGUCGUAGUCCGGAUUGGAGUCUGCAACUCGACUCCAUGAAGUCGGAAUCGCUAGUAAUCGUGGAUCAGAAUGCCACGGUGAAUACGUUCCCGGGCCUUGCACACACCGCCCGUCA